rfam:Felis catus isolate Cinnamon breed Abyssinian chromosome D2, whole genome shotgun sequence.
GCCUGGGUGGCUCAGUUGGUUAAGCAUCUGACUUGGACUCAGGUCAUGAUCUCAGUUUGUGAGUUUGAGCCCCAUGUCAGGCU